rnacentral:rRNA from 1 species
GUGGAUUAGAUACCCUGGUAGUCCACGCCGUAAACGGUGGGUACUAGGUGUGGGUUUCCUUCCUUGGGAUCCGUGCCGUAGCUAACGCAUUAAGUACCCCGCCUGGGGAGUACGGCCGCAAGGCUAAAACUCAAAGGAAUUGACGGGGGCCCGCACAAGCGGCGGAGCAUGUGGAUUAAUUCGAUGCAACGCGAAGAACCUUACCUGGGUUUGACAUGCACAGGACGUGCCUAGAGAUAGGUAUUCCCUUGUGGCCUGUGUGCAGGUGGUGCAUGGCCGUCGUCAACU